AUUGAACGCUGGCGGCAGGCUUAACACAUGCAAGUCGAGCGGGGGAAGGUAGCUUGCUACCGGACCUAGCGGCGGACGGGUGAGUAAUGCUUAAGAAUCUGCCUAUUAGUGGGGGACAACAUCUCGAAAGGGAUGCUAAUACCGCAUACGUCCUACGGGAGAAAGCAGGGGAUCUUCGGACCUUGCGCUAAUAGAUGAGCCUAAGUCGGAUUAGCUAGUUGGUGGGGUAAAGGCCUACCAAGGCGACGAUCUGUAGCGGGUCUGAGAGGAUGAUCCGCCACACUGGGACUGAGACACGGCCCAGACUCCUACGGGAGGCAGCAGUGGGGAAUAUUGGACAAUGGGGGGAACCCUGAUCCAGCCAUGCCGCGUGUGUGAAGAAGGCCUUGUGGUUGUAAAGCACUUUAAGCGAGGAGGAGGCUACUUUAGUUAAUACCUAGAGAUAGUGGACGUUACUCGCAGAAUAAGCACCGGCUAACUCUGUGCCAGCCGCCGCUGUAA
rnacentral:rRNA from 1 species